rnacentral:rRNA from 1 species
AUUGAACGCUGGCGGCAUGCCUUACACAUGCAAGUCGAACGGCAGCACGGGUGCUUGCACCUGGUGGCGAGUGGCGAACGGGUGAGUAAUACAUCGGAACAUGUCCUGUAGUGGGGGAUAGCCCGGCGAAAGCCGGAUUAAUACCGCAUACGAUCUACGGAUGAAAGCGGGGGACCUUCGGGCCUCGCGCUAUAGGGUUGGCCGAUGGCUGAUUAGCUAGUUGGUGGGGUAAAGGCCUACCAAGACGACGAUCAGUAGCUGGUCUGAGAGGACGACCAGCCACACUGGGACUGAGACACGGCCCAGACUCCUACGGGAGGCAGCAGUGGGGAAUUUUGGACAAUGGGCGAAAGCCUGAUCCAGCAAUGCCGCGUGUGUGAAGAAGGCCUUCGGGUUGUAAAGCACUUUUGUCCGGAAAGAAAUCCUUGGCCCUAAUACGGUCGGGGGAUGACGGUACCGGAAGAAUAAGCACCGGCUAACUACGUG